GUCAUGGAGGGAGAUGCCACGAUUUAGAAGGUGAUUACGAGUGUAAAUGCAAUUUUGGACGACGGGACGACGGUAACAAGGGGUGUGAACCCUUAUUGUCCAAGGCUGCAGUAGCAGUUAUAGGAACAAUCAUUGGCAUUGCAUUACUCGCGUUGCUACUCAUAUUCUUACUCAUGGAGCGAGAGAAAAGAAAGCUGAGAGAUAGGUUCAACAAGAACGGCGGACAACUAGUCAAAAG
rnacentral:rRNA from 1 species